rnacentral:rRNA from 1 species
AACGAACGUUGGCGGCGUGGAUUAGGCAUGCAAGUCGUGGGCGGUGUAGUGGCGUAGCAAUACGUCGCUGCACUGACCGGCGUAAGGGGUAGUAAUACAUGGGUAACCAACCCUCCAGAUGGGGAUAACCCGUCGAAAGACGGACUAAUACCCAGCGACGUUGCGAGGGGGCGAUCUCUUUGCAACCAAAGGUGUGAUUCCGCUGGAGGACGGGCUCAUGUCGUAUUAGCUAGNGGUAGGGUACGGCCUACCAAGGCGAAGAUGCGUAGGGACGUUAGCGCGUGAUCCCACCACUGGGACUGAGACACUGCCCAGACACCUACGGGUGGCUGCGAGUCGAGAAUCUUCGGCAA